rnacentral:rRNA from 1 species
UACGUAGGGGGCGAGCGUUGUCCGGAGUUACUGGGCGUAAAGCGCACGCAGGCGGUCUGCUAAGUUUGGAGUGACAGUUGUCGGCUCAACCGACAAAGGACUUCAAAAACUGGUGAACUUGAGGACGAGAGAGGAACAUGGAACUCCAGGUGUAGUAGUGAAAUGCGUAGAUAUCUGGAAGAACACCAAUGGCGAAGGCAAUGUUCUGGCUCGUUUCUGACGCUCAGGUGCGAAAGCCAGGGGAGCGAACGGG